rnacentral:misc_RNA from 1 species
GGAUGGAUCAUUAUAGUUUUCAUAUUUCAAAAAACCCCUCCCUUUUCUUUUUUCUCUAUUCACAUAGGGAAGAGAAUUGAAGGGGGGGGACUUCACCAGUGCUCAUCAUAAAGUCUCUACAUUUAUUAACCACAAAAACACAUUUAUCAUGUCUUAUAACAAAAUUUAAACCUAAUUACAAUUUAUAGCGGUGGAUGUCUCGGCUAUCUCAUCGAUGAAGAGCGCAGCAAAGAGCGAUAUUUAUUGUGAAUUGCAGAAUUACGCGAAUCAUCGAAAUCUUGAACGCAACCGGCACCUAGAGGUAACCCUUCUAGGUAUGCUUGUUUGAGUGUCGAAUUAAAUUUCAUCCUCUCUUAAUCAUUUUUUGAUUCAUUUUCAAAAUGAAAAAGGAGGGACUUGACAGUGGAUGUUUCACAGCACCCUCUGUUUAAAAACAUGUACAAAGUGGGCUAAAAAGUACCAACUAGUCUACUCAGAAAUGGAAUUUUACUUCCUUCUCUUUCGGGAGAGGUAAUCUGAUGAAAAACUAUUCUGGGCCUUUUAACCCUUUAUCUUUGUAAAAAGGAGUAAAAAUUCAACUGGUGCACUCGUGAGUUACACCAGAAUUAAAAAAAAAUAAAUAUUUCUCACUUCUUCUCUUUCUUCGACCUCAAAUCAAGCAUGACUACGCGCUGAAUUUAAGCAUAUAAAUAAGCGCAGGAAAAGAAACUAACUAGGAUUCCCUUAGUAAAUGCGAUUGAAAAGGGAAAAGCUCAGACUGAAUCUGGUUUCACAUUGGAACCCGAAAUGUAGUCUUUGGAUCGUCUUCCGGAUUGGUGAAAGGACUAAGUCAACUGGAACGUUACGCCAUAGAGGGUGAUAGCCCCGUAAGUUCUUUCAAAUCGAUUCAUUAGUGUUGACGAAUCCUAGAGUCGGACUAUUUGGGAGUAUAGUCCUAAUCGGGAGGUAAAUUCCUUCUAAAGCUAAAUAUAUUGAGAUAGACCGAUAGCGAACAAGUACCGUGAGGGAAAGAUGCAAAGAACUCUGAAAAGAGAGUUAAAAGUACCUGAAACCGUUAUAAAGGAAACGAUCCUUAGCACAGCGAAAAAGCUGGGGUGAUUCGGGUUAGAAUAGGAUGGCAUUUUCGGUGAAAGUGGAGCUUGCUUUCGAGUAGGCCGCUUUUAUUGGGUGCAAUUUUAUUUUGAUUUUUCUUCAUCUCAUGCUAUCACCAACAUUUGUGGAGAAUGAAGUAGAAGAGGUUAGAGUUGGUAAUCCGGGGUAACUUGGGUGAAUUACUUUAAUCGAGGAUGCUUUGUUUUUUUUACAAAGGUUACAAUAAGAUGCUUGCGGGUUAGUGGGUUUCCUGGGUAUUUUGAUUGUAGAUAACUACCUUGUAGUUUUUUGCAAUUAAAGUGCUCACCGAGAUCCAUUCGCCCAGUCUUAUCGUGAUGUUGGUUUUGUGACACUGAUCGACCCGUCUUGAAACACGGACCAAGGAGUCUAACGUAUGUGCAAGUCAUUGGGUUAUCAAACCUAAAGGCGAAAUGAAAGUGAAUGAUGGGAUACUAAGACUUUGUUGUCAAGGUUGCACCGUCAACCGAUCUUAUUUUCCUCAUUGAGGAUAGAUUUGAGUUUGAGCAUAUCCGUUAGGACCCGAAAGAUGGUGAACUAUGCUUGCAUAGGGUGAAGUCAGAAGAAAUUCUGAUGGAGGCUCGUAGCGAUACUGACGUGCAAAUCGUUCGUCAAAUGUGGGUAUAGCGGCGAAAGACUAAUCGAACCGUCUAGUAGCUGGUUUCCGC